AAAAAAGGUAAGCUACUAAGAGCGAAUGGUGGAUGCCUUGACUGGUAAAGGCGAUGAAGGACGUACUAGACUGCGAUAAGCUACGGGGAGCUGUCAAGAAGCUUUGAUCCGUAGAUUUCCGAAUGGGGCAACCCAAUGUAUAGAGAUAUACAUUACCUAUAUAGGAGCGAACGAGGGGAAUUGAAACAUCUUAGUACCCUCAGGAAAAGAAAUCAAUAGAGAUUGCGUCAGUAGCGGCGAGCGAAAGCGCAAGAGGGCAAACCCAGUGCUUGCACUGGGGGUUGUAGGACUGCAAUGUGCAAGAGGUGAGUUUAGCAGAACAUUCUGGAAAGUAUAGCCAUAGAGGGUGAUAGUCCCGUAUGCGAAAAACAAACCUUAGCUAGCAGUAUCCUGAGUAGGGCGGGACACGAGAAAUCCUGUCUGAAGCUGGGUCGACCACGAUCCAACCCUAAAUACUAAUACCAGAUCGAUAGUGCACAAGUACCGUGAGGGAAAGGUGAAAAGAACUGAGGUGAUCAGAGUGAAAUAGAACCUGAAACCAUUUGCUUACAAUCAUUCAGAGCACUAUGUAGCAAUACAGUGUGAUGGACUGCCUUUUGCAUAAUGAGCCUGCGAGUUGUGGUGUCUGGCAAGGUUAAGCAAACGCGAAGCCGUAGCGAAAGCGAGUCUGAAUAGGGCGCUUAGUCAGAUGCUGCAGACCCGAAACGAAGUGAUCUAUCCAUGAGCAAGUUGAAGCUAGUGUAAGAACUAGUGGAGGACUGAACCCAUAGGCGUUGAAAAGCCCCGGGAUGACUUGUGGAUAGGGGUGAAAGGCCAAUCAAACUUCGUGAUAGCUGGUUCUCUCCGAAAUAUAUUUAGGUAUAGCGUUGUGUCGUAAUAUAAGGGGGUAGAGCACUGAAUGGGCUAGGGCAUACACCAAUGUACCAAACCCUAUCAAACUCCGAAUACCUUAUAUGUAAUCACAGCAGUCAGGCGGCGAGUGAUAAAAUCCGUCGUCAAGAGGGAAACAACCCAGACUACCAGCUAAGGUCCCUAAAUCUUACUUAAGUGGAAAACGAUGUGAAGUUACUUAAACAACCAGGAGGUUGGCUUAGAAGCAGCCAUCCUUUAAAGAAAGCGUAAUAGCUCACUGGUCUAGUGAUUUUGCGCGGAAAAUAUAACGGGGCUAAAGU
rnacentral:rRNA from 1 species